CAAAAGAAGAGUUUGAUCCUGGCUCAGAAGGAACGCUAGCUAUAUUCUUAACAUAUGCAAGUCGAACAUUAUUUUCGGGGAGCUGGGCAGAAGGAAAAGAGGCUCCUAGCUAAAGGUAGUUUGUCUUGCCCAGGAGGUGAGAAAAUAUGAGAACAAAGUGGCGAACGGGUGCGUAAUGCGUGGGAAUCUACCAAACAGUUUGGGCCAAAUCCUGAAAAAAGCUAAAAAACACUGUUUGAUGAGCCUGCAUAGUAUUAGGUAGUUGGUUAGGUAAAGGCUGAACAAGCCAAUGAUGCUUAGCUGGUCUUUUCGGAUGAUCAUCCAUACUGUGACACGGCUUGGACUCCCACGAGGGGCAGUAGUAGAGAAUCUUAGACAAUGGGCGAAAGCCCAAUCCAGCAAUAUCACAUGAGAGAAGAAAGGCAAUGCCGCUUGUAAAGCUCUUUCGUUGAGUGUGCGAUCAUGACCGGACUCGAGGAAGAAGCCUCGGCUAACUCUGUGCCAGCAGCCAUAGUAAGUUCGGGGGGGAGGGCAAGUAUUCUUCAGAAUGACUGGGCGUAAAGGGCACGUAGGUGGUGAAUCAGGUUGAAAAUGAAAGCCACCAAAAACUAGCGGAAUGCUCUUGAAACCAAUUCACUUGAGUGAGACAGAGGAGAGUGAAAUUUCAUGUGAAGGGGUGAAAUCCGAAGAUCUAUGAAGGAACACCAAAAGCAAAGGCAGCUCUCUAGGUCCCUACCAAUGUUGAGGUGCGAAAGCAUGGGGAGCAAACAGGAUUAGAUACCCUAGUAGUCCAUGUCGUAAACGAUGAGUGUUCGCCCUUGGUCUACGUGGAUCAGGGGCCCAGCUAACGCGUGAAAAACUCUGCCUGGGGAGUACGGUCGUAAGACCAAAACUCAAAGGAAUUGACGGAGGCCUGCACAAGCGGUAGAGCAUGUGGUUUAAUUCGAUACAACGCGCAAAACCUUACCAGCCCUUGACAUAUGAACAAGAAAACCUGUCCUUAACGAGAUGAUACUGACUUUCAUAUAGGUACUGCAUGGCUGUCAUCAGCUCAUGUCGUGAGAUGUUUGGUUAAGUCCUAUAACGAGUGAAACCCUCAUUUUGUGUUACUGAGACAUGCGCCUAAGGAGAAAGUCUUUGCAACCGAAGUGAGCCGAGGAGCCGAGUGAUGUGCCAGCGCUACUAAUUGAGUGCCAGCACCUAGCUGUGCUGUCAAUAAGAAGGUAGUCGCGCCUUUCAAAACACUUUCUAUUUCUAGUUAGCGCUCUCUAUUGGUUGCAGCUAGCGCGCUUGACUAAUGACGAUUGAAAGGGCCUUUCUCGCUUUUUUAGUAAAGUUGAAAUUUUUGGCCUUAUCUUGUAAGUGACGAUGAUUUUAAGUUGAUGGCAGAAAAAGACCCGGCAUUCAGGCGAGCCAUCUGGUGGUGUGGUACGUAGUGCGCUUAGUACGCCCCGCCUAAACAAACGGUUCCAAAACAAACAGAAAGGUCCAUGUCGCACUCACGAAAGACUACCAGUGAUAUACUGGAGGAAGGUGGGGAUGACGCCAAGUUUGCAUGGCCCUUAUGGGAUGGGCCACACACGUUCUACAAUGGCAAUUACAAUAGGAAGCAAGGCUGUAAGGCAGAGCGAAUCCGAAAAGAUUUCCUCAGUUUGGAUUGUUAUCUGCAACUCAAGAACAUGAAGUUGGAAUCGUUAGUAAUCGCGGAUCAGCAUACCACGGUGAAUAUGUACCUGGGCCUUGUACACACCACCUGUCACACCCUGGGAAUCGGUUUUGCCCGAAGCACCGGACCAAUGAUCACCCAUGACUUCUGUGGCACACUAGUUCCACAAAGGCCUUUGGUGAUCUUAUUGGCGCAUACCACGGUGGGGUCUUCGACUGGGGUGAAGUCAAAACAAGGUAGCCAUAGGGGAAUCUGUGGCUGGAUUGAAUCUUUC
rfam:Capsicum annuum cultivar Zunla-1 unplaced genomic scaffold scaffold5572, whole genome shotgun sequence